rnacentral:rRNA from 1 species
UACAGAGGUCUCAAGCGUUGUUCGGAUUCAUUGGGCGUAAAGGGUGCGUAGGUGGUGCUGUAAGUCGGGUGUGAAAUUUCGGAGCUUAACUCCGAAACUGCAUUCGAUACUGCGGUGCUUGAGGACUGGAGAGGAGACUGGAAUUCAUGGUGUAGCAGUGAAAUGCGUAGAGAUCAUGAGGAAGACCAGUGGCGAAGGCGGGUCUCUGGACAGUUCCUGACACUGAGGCACGAAGGCGAGGGGAGCAAACGGG